CGCGGUAAUACGUAGGUGGCAAGCGUUAUCCGGAAUUAUUGGGCGUAAAGGGUGCGUAGGCGGUUUAUUAAGUCUAUGGUGAAAGUGCGGGGCUCAACCCCGUAUGGCCAUAGAAACUGGUAGACUUGAGUGCAGGAGAGGGCAAUGGAAUUCCAUGUGUAGCGGUAAAAUGCGUAGAUAUAUGGAGGAACACCAGUGGCGAAGGCGGUUGCCUGGCCUGUAACUGACGCUGAAGCACGAAAGCGUGGGGAGCAAAUAGGAUUAGAUACCCUAGUAGUCCACGCCGUAAACGAUGAAUACUAAGUGUUGGAGAAAUUCAGUGCUGCAGUUAACGCAAUAAGUAUUCCGCCUGGGGAGUAUGCACGCAAGUGUGAAACUCAAAGGAAUUGACGGGACCCCGCACAAGCGGUGGAUUAUGUUGUUUAAUUCGACGCAACGCGAAGAACCUUACCAGGCCUUGACAUACUCAGCAAAGCCCUAGAGAUAGGGUGGAGGUUAUCUGGGAUACAGGUGGUGCAUGGUUGUCGUCAGCUCGUGUCGUGAGAUGUUGGGUUAAGUCCCGCAACGAGCGCAACCCUUGUCUUUAGUUACCAUCAUUCAGUUGGGGACUCUAGAGAGACUGCCGGUGAUAAACCGGAGGAAGGUGGGGAUGACGUCAAAUCAUCAUGCCCCUUAUGGCCUGGGCUACAAACGUAAUACAAUGGCGUAUACAAAGGGAUGCGAAAGGGCGACCUGGAGCAAAACUCAUAAAGUACGUCUCAGUUCAGAUUGGAGUCUGCAACUCGACUCCAUGAAGGCGGAAUCGCUAGUAAUCGCGGAUCAGCAUGCCGCGGUGAAUACGUUCUCGGGGUUUGUACACACCGCCCGUCAAACCAUGAGAGUUGGUAAUACCCGAAGC
rnacentral:rRNA from 1 species